UACGUAGGUGGCAAGCGUUGUCCGGAAUUAUUGGGCGUAAAGAGCAUGUAGGCGGGAAUCUAAGUCUGUUGUUAAAAUGCGGGGCUCAACCCCGUAUUGCGAUGGAAACUGGGUUUCUUGAGUGCAGGAGAGGAAAGGGGAAUUCCCAGUGUAGCGGUGAAAUGCGUAGAUAUUGGGAGGAACACCAGUGGCGAAGGCGGCUUUCUGGCCAGUUACUGACGCUCAUGCGCGAAAGCUGGGGUAGCGAACCGGAUUAGAUACCCCGGUAGUCCCUGAG
rnacentral:rRNA from 1 species